GGAUUAGAUACCCUGGUAGUCCACGCAGUAAACGGUGAUCACUAGGUGUAGCGGGUAUUGACCCCUGCUGUGCCGCAGCUAACGCAUUAAGUGAUCCGCCUGGGGAGUACGGUCGCAAGGUUAAAACUCAAAGGAAUUGACGGGGGCCCGCACAAGCGGUGGAGCAUGUGGUUUAAUUCGACGCAACGCGAAGAACCUUACCUGGAUUUGACAUCCCGGGAAUUCAUUGGAAACAUUGAAGUGCCCUUCGGGGAGCCCGGUGACAGGUGCUGCAUGGCUGUCGUCAGCUCGUGCUG
rnacentral:rRNA from 1 species